GAUGAAGAACGUAGCGAAAUGCGAUAAGUAAUGUGAAUUGCAGAAUUCAGUGAAUCAUCGAAUCUUUGAACGCACAUUGCGCCCGCCAGUAUUCUGGCGGGCAUGCCUGUUCGAGCGUCAUUUCAACCAUCAAGCCCCCGGCUUGUGUUGGGGACCUGCGGCUGCCGCAGGCCCUGAAAAGCAGUGGCGGGCUCGCUGUCACACCGAGCGUAGUAGCAUACAUCUCGCUCUGGGCGUGCUGCGGGUUCCGGCCGUUAAACCACCUUCAUAACCCAAGGUUGACCUCGGAUCAGGUAGGAAGACCCGCUGAACUUAAGCAUAUCAAUAAUCGGAGGA
rnacentral:misc_RNA from 1 species